rnacentral:rRNA from 1 species
GUGACCUCAAAUCAGGUAGGACUACCCGCUGAACUUAAGCAUAUCAAUAAGCGGAGGAAAAGAAACUAACAAGGAUUCCCCUAGUAACUGCGAGUGAAGCGGGAAAAGCUCAAAUUUAAAAUCUGGCAGUCUUUGGCUGUCCGAGUUGUAAUCUAGAGAAGUGCUAUCCGCGCUGGACCGUGUACAAGUCUCCUGGAAUGGAGCGUCAUAGAGGGUGAGAAUCCCGUCUUUGACACGGACUUGCCAGGGCUUUGUGAUGUGCUCUCGAAGAGUCGGGUUGUUUGGGAAUGCAGCUCAAAAUGGGUGGUAAAUUCCAUCUAAAGCUAAAUAUUGGCGAGAGACCGAUAGCGAACAAGUACCGUGAGGGAAAGAUGAAAAGAACUUUGGAAAGAGAGUUAAACAGUACGUGAAAUUGCUGAAAGGGAAACGCUUGAAGUCAGUCGCGUUGUCCAGGGAUCAACCUUGCUUUUGCUUGGUGCACUUUCUGGUUGACGGGUCAGCAUCAAUUUUGACUAUUGGAAAAAGAUUAGGGGAAUGUGACAUCUUUGGAUGUGUUAUAGCCCUUGGUUGCAUACAAUGGUUGGGAUUGAGGAACUCAGCACGCCGCAAGGCCGGGUUUUCAAACCACGUACGUGCUUAGGAUGCUGGCAUAAUGGCUUUAAUCGACCC